AUUGAACGCUGGCGGCAGGCCUAACACAUGCAAGUCGAGCGGUAGAGAGAAGCUUGCUUCUCUUGAGAGCGGCGGACGGGUGAGUAAUGCCUAGGAAUCUGCCUAGUGGUGGGGGAUAACGUUCGGAAACGGACGCUAAUACCGCAUACGUCCUACGGGAGAAGGCGGGGGAUCUUCGGACCUCGCGCCAUUAGAUGAGCCUAGGUCGGAUUAGCUAGUUGGUGAGGUAAUGGCUCACCAGGGCGACGAUCCGUAACUGGUCUGAGAGGAUGAUCAGUCACACUGGAACUGGGACACGGUCCAGACUCCUACGGGAGGCAGCAGUGGGGAAUAUUGGACAAUGGGCGAAAGCCUGAUCCAGCCAUGCCGCGUGUGUGAAGAAGGUCUUCGGAUUGUAAAGCACUUUAAGUUGGGAGGAAGUGCAGUAACCUAAUACGUUAUUGUUUUGACGUUACCGACAGAAUAAGCACCGGCUAACUUCGUGCCAGCAGCCGCGGUAAUAC
rnacentral:rRNA from 1 species